GAAGUAAAAGUCGUAACAAGGUUUCCGUAGGUGAACCUGCGGAAGGAUCAUUACUGAACCGUCAACACGAGUUGUUGCUGGCCCUCAAAAGGGGGCAUGUGCACGCUCUGUUUGCAUCCACUCACACCUGUGCACACUCUGUAGUUCCACGGUCUGGGAGGUCCCAUCUUCCUUCUGUGGUUCUGCAUCUUUACACACACACUGUAACAUGGUCUUAUGGAAUGUAUGCAGCGUUUAACGCAAUAAAAUACAACUUUCAGCAACGGAUCUCUUGGCUCUCGCAUCGAUGAAGAACGCAGCGAAAUGCGAUAAGUAAUGUGAAUUGCAGAAUUCAGUGAAUCAUCGAAUCUUUGAACGCACCUUGCGCCCUUUGGCUAUUCCGAAGGGCAUGCCUGUUUGAGUAUCAUGAACACCUCAACUCUCACAGCUUGCUGUGAUGAGCUUGGACUUUGGAGGCUCUGCUGGCACACAGUCGGCUCCUCUCAAAUGAAUCAGCCUGCCGGUGUACGGCGGCAUCACGGGUGUGAUAACUAUCUGCGCUUGUGGUGCCUGCCAGACAACCUCCAGCAGUGGAGGUUGGCUGUGGGGCUUAUAAAUGUCUCUCCUCAGUGAAGACAGCUUUCUGAAUGUUUGAUCUCAAAUCAGGUAGGACUACCCGCUGAACUUAAGCAUAUCA
rnacentral:rRNA from 1 species